CGCGUAGGUGGUUUGUUAAGUUGGAUGUGAAAGCCCCGGGCUCAACCUGGGAACUGCAUCCAAAACUGGCAAGCUAGAGUACGGUAGAGGGUGGUGGAAUUUCCUGUGUAGCGGUGAAAUGCGUAGAUAUAGGAAGGAACACCAGUGGCGAAGGCGACCACCUGGACUGAUACUGCACUGAGGUGCGAAAGCGUGGGGAGCAAACA
rnacentral:rRNA from 1 species